UUAACUCAAAUUUGUAUGCAGUUCGAACAGCGCCCCUAACGGCAAACGUAGGCACACGUUCCAACUCCAUACAAAUUUGCGUUA
rnacentral:pre_miRNA from 1 species